rnacentral:rRNA from 1 species
CUCUCCCUCUUUCUUCCUGCUUAACACAUGCAAGUCGAACGCAUCCUUCGGGGUGAGUGGCAGACGGGGGAGUAACACGUGGGAAAGUACCCUUCGAACUGGGAUAACUUCGGGAAACUGGCGCGAAUACCGGAUACGCACUUUUGGGGAAAGGUUUACUGUCGAAGGAUCGGCCCGCGUCUGAUUAGCGAGUGGGUGGGGUAACGGCCUACCAAGGCGACGAUCAGUAGCUGGUCUGAGAGGAUGAUCAGCCACACUGGGACUGAGACACGGCCCAGACUCCUACGGGAGGCAGCGGUGGUGAAUAUUGGACAGUAGGCGCAAGCCUGAGACAGCCAUGCCGCGUUAGUGAUGAAGGCCUUAUGGUCGUAUAGCUCUUGUGUCCGGGACGAUAAUGACGGUACCGGAAGAAUAAGCCCCGGCUAACUUCGUG